rnacentral:rRNA from 1 species
UACGAAGGGGGCUAGCGUUGUUCGGAAUCACUGGGCGUAAAGCGCACGUAGGCGGAUCUUUAAGUCAGGGGUGAAAUCCCGAGGCUCAACCUCGGAACUGCCUUUGAUACUGGGGAUCUCGAGUCCGGGAGAGGUGAGUGGAACUGCGAGUGUAGAGGUGAAAUUCGUAGAUAUUCGCAAGAACACCAGUGGCGAAGGCGGGUCACUGGCCCGAUACUGACGCUGAGGCACGAAAGCGUGGGGAGCAAACAGG